UGGUUCUCGCAUCGAUGAAGAACGCAGCGAAACGCGAUAGGUAAUGUGAAUUGCAGAAUUCAGUGAAUCAUCGAAUCUUUGAACGCACAUUGCGCCUUCUGGUAUUCCGGGAGGCACGUCUGCUUGAGCGUCAGCAAAAACCCAUCGGCGGUCCGGUUUUCGUCCAGGCGAUCACCGGCCGCCGGAGUUGGGGCUCGGCGAGGGGAGGCUGCAAGGCCCCACCUUGACCAACCCUUAAUUUGGCCGAAGCUUGCGGACCGGUGCCCCACGAUCGCAGCGAAGUAAAUGUAACAGUUAAAACGCGGGUCUAGAGCAUGUGGUCCACGCCUUUUUUGCAACCAACGGUCACAACCUCCCAGCAGGGACGGUGGUGGCCUCUGACGUUUGACCUCAAGUCAGAUGAGGAUACCCGCUGA
rnacentral:misc_RNA from 1 species